GCCGGGCGUGGUGGCGGGUGCCUGUAGUCCCAGCUACUCAGGAGGCUGAGGCAGGAGAAUCGCUUGAACCCGGGAAGCGGAGGUUGCAGUGAGCCAAGAUCGCACCACUGCACUCUAGCCUGGGUGACAGAGUGAGACUCUGUCUCAA
rnacentral:SRP_RNA from 1 species